rnacentral:rRNA from 1 species
GAUGAACGCUGGCGGCGUGCCUAAUACAUGCAAGUCGAGCGAACAGACGAGGAGCUUGCUCCUCUGACGUUAGCGGCGGACGGGUGAGUAACACGUGGAUAACCUACCUAUAAGACUGGGAUAACUUCGGGAAACCGGAGCUAAUACCGGAUAAUAUAUUGAACCGCAUGGUUCAAUAGUGAAAGACGGUUUUGCUGUCACUUAUAGAUGGAUCCGCGCCGCAUUAGCUAGUUGGUAAGGUAACGGCUUACCAAGGCAACGAUGCGUAGCCGACCUGAGAGGGUGAUCGGCCACACUGGAACUGAGACACGGCACAGACUCCUACGGGAGGCAGCAGUAGGGAAUCUUACGCAAUGGGCGAAAGCCUGACGGAGCAACGCCGCGUGAGUGAUGAAGGUCUUCGGAUCGUAAAACUAUGUUAUUAGGGAAGAACAAAUGUGUAAGUAACUAUGCACGUCUUGACGGUACCUAAUCAGAAAGCCACGGCUAACUACGUG